rnacentral:tRNA from 2 species
GGCAACUUGGCCGAGCUGGUUAUGGCGUCAGGUUAAGGCACUUAAGUCUUAGCACUCAAGUAUCUGAUCAUCCGAUCGGAUAGACGUUUCCUGAUGGGAGUAAUCCCGCGUGGGUUCAAGUCCCACAGUUGUCA